rnacentral:rRNA from 1 species
AUUGAACGCUGGCGGCAGGCCUAACACAUGCAAGUCGAACGAGCGGCGGACGGGUGAGUAAUGUCUGGGGAACUGCCCGAUGGAGGGGGAUAACUACUGGAAACGGUGGCUAAUACCGCAUACUAUCAGAUGUGCCCAGAUGGGAUUAGCUUGGUGGUGGGGUAAAGGCUCACCAAGGCGACGAUCUCUAGCUGGUCUGAGAGGAUGAUCAGCCACACUGGAACUGAGACACGGUCCAGACUCCUACGGGAGGCAGCAGUGGGGAAUAUUGCACAAUGGGCGCAAGCCUGAUGCAGCCAUGCCGCGUGUAUGAAGAAGGCCUUAGGGUUGUAAAGUACGUGCAGCGGGGAGGCGUUACCCGCAGAAGAAGCACCGGCUAACUCCGUGCCAGCAGCCGCGGUAAUUC